UACGUAGGGGGCAAGCGUUGUCCGGAUUUAUUGGGCGUAAAGAGCGUGUAGGCGGCUUUACAGGUCCGUUGUGAAAACUCGAGGCUCAACCUCGAGACGCCGGUGGAAACCGUAAAGCUAGAGUCCGGAAGAGGAGAGUGGAAUUCCUGGUGUAGCGGUGAAAUGCGUAGAUAUCUGGAGGAACACCGGUGGCGAAGGCGGCAUCCUGGACCGGCAUUGACGCUGAGGAGCGAAAGCCAGGGGAGCAAACGGG
rnacentral:rRNA from 1 species